rnacentral:rRNA from 1 species
UACGAAGGGGGCUAGCGUUGCUCGGAUUGACUGGGCGUAAAGGGCGCGUAGGCGGUUUGUACAGUCAGACGUGAAAUUCCUGGGCUCAACCUGGGGGCUGCGUUUGAUACGUGCAGACUUGAGUUCGGAAGAGGGUCGUGGAAUUCCCAGUGUAGAGGUGAAAUUCGUAGAUAUUGGGAAGAACACCGGUGGCGAAGGCGGCGACCUGGUCCGAUACUGACGCUGAGGUGCGAAAGCGUGGGGAGCAAACAGG